rnacentral:rRNA from 1 species
GACGAACGCUGGCGGCGUGCCUAAUACAUGCAAGUCGAGCGGACCGGAUUGGGGCUUGCCUUGAUUCGGUCAGCGGCGGACGGGUGAGUAACACGUGGGCAACCUGCCCGCAAGACCGGGAUAACUCCGGGAAACCGGAGCUAAUACCGGAUAACACCGAAGACCGCAUGGUCUUCGGUUGAAAGGCGGCCUUUGGGCUGUCACUUGCGGAUGGGCCCGCGGCGCAUUAGCUAGUUGGUGAGGUAACGGCGCACCAAGGCGACGAUGCGUAGCCGGCCUCAGAGGGUGACCGGCCACACUGGGACUGGGACACGGCCCAGACUCCUACGGGAGGCAGCAGUAGGGAAUCUUCCGCAAUGGGCGAAAGCCUGACGGAGCGACGCCGCGUGAGCGAAGAAGGCCUUCGGGUCGUAAAGCUCUGUUGUGAGGGACGAAGGAGCGCCGUUCGAAGAGGGCGGCGCGGUGACGGUACCUCACGAGAAAGCCCCGGCUAACUACGUGCCAGCCGCCGCAGUAA